AGUGAACGCUGGCGGUAGGCCUAACACAUGCAAGUCGAACGGCAGCACAGUAAGAGCUUGCUCUUACGGGUGGCGAGUGGCGGACGGGUGAGGAAUACAUCGGAAUCUACUUUUUCGUGGGGGAUAACGUAGGGAAACCUAAGCUAAUACCGCAUACCACCUUCGGGUGAAAGCAGGGGAACUUCGGACCUUGCGCGAUUGAAUGAGCCGAUGUCGGAUUAGAUAGUUGGCGGGGUAAAGGCCCACCAAGGCGACGAUCCGUAGCUGGUCUGAGAGGAUGAUCAGCCACACUGGAACUGAGACACGGUCCAGACUCCUACGGGAGGCAGCAGUGGGGAAUAUUGGACAAUGGGCGCAAGCCUGAUCCAGCCAUACCGCGUGGGUGAAGAAGGCCUUCGGGUUGUAAAGCCCUUUUGUUGGGAAAGAAAAGCAGCAGGUUAAUACCCCGCUGUUCUGACGGUACCCAAAGAAUAAGCACCGGCUAACUUCGUG
rnacentral:rRNA from 1 species